UAGCAGAACCCCAAGUGGUAGUCGUUAUUAUUGGGUUUAAAGUGUUCGUAGCCGGCCGUACAAGUCUGCUGUGAAAUCCAUGCGCUCAACGUAUGGACAUGCAGCGGAUACUGUACUGGCUAGGGACCGGACGGCGUCGAGGCUAUUCUCAGGGUAGGGGUGAAAUCCUAAAAUCCUGAGAGGAGCACCUGUGGCGGAAGCGCUCGACGAGUACGGAUCCGACGGUGAGGAACGAAAGCUAGGGGAGCAA
rnacentral:rRNA from 1 species